AUACGUAGGGGGCUAGCGUUAUCCGGAAUUACUGGGCGUAAAGGGUGCGUAGGUGGUUUCUUAAGUCUGAUGUGAAAGCCCACGGCUCAACCGUGGAGGGUCAUUGGAAACUGGUCGACUUGAGUGCAGAAGAGGGAAGUGGAAUUCCAUGUGUAGCGGUGAAAUGCGUAGAGAUAUGGAGGAACACCAGUGGCGAAGGCGGCCUCCUGGUCUGUAACUGACACUGAGGCGCGAAAGCGUGGGGAGC
rnacentral:rRNA from 1 species